AUGCCACCGAAAAAAGGAGGAGGGAGAAAAAAGGGGAAAGCCCCAGCUAAGAGGCAUACAGCUCCCCAGUUGUCCCCACCUCAAUCGUCAUCCGAUGAGGAAUCUUGGGCGAUGCUGAAAGAAUUACAGGCAAGAAUGGCAAGCCUUGAAUCUAAAAAGUCUGAAAGGCAGGCCAUUGGUGGCAAGGAGGUUACACCACGUCGCUCAGUAAGGGAUACAAAGGGACGUCGCAGGGCAGAAAUGAGAGCCAUGACCCUGGAUUUAACAAGGCGUUUUGAUGCACUUGAAUCCCAGCAGGGACAUGAUCCUGAUGGACGAAAUGUGGAUGAAGGUUCAGAGGCAACGAUGAUAGGGACUGGCGGGCAAAAGCGCAGAAGGACGGAGGUGGCAGUCAGCCAGGAUCUGGGAGAGGGAACGUCAUACGGGCAUGACCCCUAUGAGGAAUUUCCUGCCAGUGGUCAAAGGGCUGUUGAGGCUUCUGGAGCCACAAGGUCGGUUUCGGGUGAGUAUGUGGCUUUGCACAACACAGUUAAUCAAACGGUUCAGUGGCCAUGGGUUGGAGGUUCGCAGCAGCCAGGCGCAUCGCUCAACACUUGUGUAACACCUGGUUUGACAUGGCCAGGCAGUUUCUGGCCCCCAAUGGGGCCGCAAUGGUUGGGGUGGGGCAUGCCAUUCCAUUCCCCGUUGAAACCUGCAGCGGCAGACGAAGGUAAGAGUACAGUACCACUUCAGCAUCCAUCAGUGCCCAAUACAGGUUACAAUACGGUGCCGAUAAUGGCUAUUCCGUACACAGACUAUAAUUCGCCACUGGGAGAUCACCUGACACCAACUGUUAAGGAAAGAAUUUGGCGAGGUAAUUACAUUGACUUCUAUGAGUUACUUAACAGGGAAUUUGAAGUCAAGGAAAUUGAUAAAGACAAUGAAAAACUGAAAGAGAAGCACAGGCGCAAAAGGCCCGAUAGGAAUUGGACCAACGGGGUCACUGGUUUCACUAUUUAUUCAGGUGUAUUGGUCAAAAUGCAACCUUGGAAAGCGUCAGCCUUGUUCCAAUAUUUUGAUAUUAUGCGUACAGCGAAGGCAGAAUUUGAGGGCCAGGCGUGGUUGUGGUAUGACGAAGCAUUCAGCAUGCGAAGCGCAAUCCGUCCGGAAUUGCGUUGGGAUGAAACACACCCCGGUCUCUGGCUACAGCACAUGUCGCCAGCUAAAACAAAUCUGGGUGAUAGAUUUGAUUGUGGGCAUCUGAAUAUACGGUAUUCAGGUAGCACUGGUGCCCGCCAGGGGGCGGGGCAGGCGGUUCAACCCCGGCUGCCUUGCUUUGAAUUUAACAAUAAGGGGUCCUGUGGUAAGUCCCCGUGCAGAUUUCGACACGAAUAUAUCACAUGUGGAGGAAAGCACUCAAAAAGCAACUGCUUCAAAUCAGGGGGUCAGCACCAGAAUAAGGCAGGCGGGGCAAAUAAGAAGCCGGAUAGUGGAUGA
rnacentral:lncRNA from 1 species